rnacentral:rRNA from 1 species
GGCAAACGGGUGAGUAACACGUGAACAACCUACCCUCGAGUGGGGAAUAACACCGCGAAAGCGGUGCUAAUACCGCAUAACAUCUCUGAAUCGCAUGGUUUUGAGAUCAAAAGCUUCGGUUGCUUGAGGAAGGGUUCGCGCCUGAUUAGCUAGUUGGUGAGGUAACGGCUCACCAAGGCUGCGAUCAGUAGCCGGCCUGAGAGGGUGAACGGCCACACUGGGACUGAGACACGGUCCAGACUCCUACGGGAGGCAGCAGUGGGGAAUUUUGCGCAAUGGGCGAAAGCCUGACGCAGCAACGCCGCGUGGAGGAUGAAGGCCCUCGGGUCGUAAACUCCUGUCAGUGGGGAAGAAUGCUUCGGUUUGACUGUACCCGCUGAGGAAGCCACGGCUAACUCCGUGCCAGCAGCCGCGGUAAUACGGAGGUGGCAAGCGUUGUUCGGAAUUACUGGGCGUAAAGGGCGCGUAGGCGGCUUGGCAAGUCGGAUGUGAAAUCCCCGAGCUUAACUUGGGAGUUGCAUCUGAUACUGUCGAGCUUGAGUCCUG